UCCAACAUAGCUCAGUUGGUAGAGCAUGAGACCCUUAAUGUCAGGGUCAUGGAUUUGAGCCCCACGUUGAGCAAAA